ACAAAGGGAAGGAGCAGGCGGCUGAACAGCCUGAGCUGAAAUGCUGUGUCCUCUCCCACCGCUUGGAGGAUAGACUCAAAUACUAAUGGAGUGCAAGUCAAAGCAGAGAUCUGGAAAAGGCCUGACCCAAGACUGGAAGCUCUAUUUAACCUAGAGAAGGGGAUUGAAGGGUUCUCCCUAUGCUGCUUUGAGCGCUGCUAUUGGGUGCCUUGAGGGGACCUCAAGUAAGCUCCAUUUUUGAAACAUGGAUGGCAAGUGUUCAUGACAUCAAUACUACCCAAGGCUUCAGAGUCAUUGGAUUGCAGGAUGCAGUGACUUAUGAUGAUGUGCGUGUGAACUUCACUGAGGAAGAGUGGGAUUUGCUGGAUCCUUCCCAGAAAAGUCUCUAUGAAGAGGUGAUGCUAGAGACAUACCAGAACAUCACUGCUAUAGGCUACAAUUGGGAAGACCAUCAUAUUGAAGAACAUUGUCAAAGUUCUAGAAGACAUGAAAGGCAUGAAAGAAUUCAUAUUGGAGAGAAACCGUAUGAACGUAACCAAUGGGGUAAAGCCUUUGCAAGUGACAAUCAUCUCCAAAUACGUAAAAGAACAAAUACUGGAGAGAAACCUUAUGAAUGUAAUCAAUGUGGUAAAGCCUUUUCACAACAGAGUAGUCUCCAGUAUCAUAAAAGAACAUAUGCUGGACAGAAACCUUAUGAAUGUAAUCAGUGUGGUAAAGCCUUGUCAUGUCAAAGAAA
rnacentral:lncRNA from 1 species